rnacentral:rRNA from 1 species
UGGGUAACCUGCCUCAAAGAGGGGAAUAGCCUCCCGAAAAGGAGAUUAAUACCGUAUAAUAUGUUUAAGUCGCAUGACUUUAACAUCAAAGGAUUUUCUUUUAGAACUUCCACUUUGAGAUGGACCCGCGGCGCAUUAGCUAGUUGGUGAGGUAACGGCUCACCAAGGCAACGAUGCGUAGCCGACCUGAGAGGGUGAUCGGCCACAUUGGAACUGAGACACGGUCCAGACUCCGUACGGGAGCAG